UUCAAAGACUAGCACGUGAGGCGUGCGGAUCUCGCCAAGCACGACUAGGAUAUUCGUUGCUCACCCGAGCUAUAAUGUGGUGUCCAUGGAGAUAACAGAUUACCUACAGUACGGACACGUGCAUGGGAACAGUUGGAAGCAUGUGCUGUUGGCCAUGCAGAUCGGAACCUGAACACCAGCCCUUCUAUCAGCGUUUGCCACCACCGGCAAAUCCUGCGCCGCAGACCAGCACGUUGAAUGA